rnacentral:rRNA from 1 species
GAACGAUCCAAUGGCUUGCUCAUUGGAAAGUGGCGCACGGGUGCGUAACGCGUAUGCAACCUACCUCAAUCAGGGGGAUAGCCCGAAGAAAUUCGGAUUAACACCGCAUAAAAACACAGUACAGCAUUGUACAAUGUUCAAAUAUUUAUAGGAUUGAGAUGGGCAUGCGUGUCAUUAGCUAGUUGGCGGGGUAACGGCCCACCAAGGCGACGAUGACUAGGGGAUCUGAGAGGAUGACCCCCCACACUGGUACUGAGACACGGACCAGACUCCUACGGGAGGCAGCAGUAAGGAAUAUUGGUCAAUGGAGGCAACUCUGAACCAGCCAUGCCGCGCGCAGGAAGACAGCCCUCUGGGUCGUAAACUGCUUUUAUUCGGGAAUAAACCUACUUACGUGUAAGUAGCUGAAUGUACCGAAGGAAUAAGGAUCGGCUAACUCCGUGCCAGCAGCCGCGGUAAUACGGAGGAUCCAAGCGUUAUCCGGAUUUAUUGGGUUUAAAGGGUGCGUAGGCGGCUUAUUAAGUCAGGGGUGAAAGACGGUGGCUCAACCAUCGCAGUGCCCUUGAUACUGAUGAGCUUGAAUGAACUAGAGGUAGGCGGAAUGUGACAAGUAGCGGUGAAAUGCAUAGAUAUGUCACAGAACACCGAUUGCGAAGGCAGAUUACUAUGGUUUUAUUGACGCUGAGGCACGAAAGCGUGGGGAUCAAACAGGAUUAGAUACCCUGGUAGUCCACGCCCUAAACGAUGAAUACUCGCUGUUAGCGAUAUACAGUUAGCGGCUAAGCGAAAGCGUUAAGUAUUCCACCUGGGGAGUACGCCCGCAAGGGUGAAACUCAAAGGAAUUGACGGGGGCCCGCACAAGCGGAGGAGCAUGUGGUUUAAUUCGAUGAUACGCGAGGAACCUUACCCGGGCUUGAAAGUUAGUGAAUCAUUUAGAGAUAGAUGAGUGAGCAAUCACACGAAACUAGGUGCUGCAUGGCUGUCGUCAGCUCGUGCCGUGAGGUGUUGGGUUAAGUCCCGCAACGAGCGCAACCCCUAUGUUUAGUUGCCAGCACGCUAUGGUGGGGACUCUAAACAGACUGCCUGUGCAAACAGAGAGGAAGGAGGGGACGACGUCAAGUCAUCAUGGCCCUUACGUCCGGGGCUACACACGUGCUACAAUGGAUGGUACAGAGGGCAGCAAGCUGGUAACAGCAAGCAAAUCUCAAAAAGCCAUUCACAGUUCGGAUAGAGGUCUGCAACUCGACCUCUUGAAGUUGGAUUCGCUAGUAAUC